UGAAAUUUGGUGUUUGUAGUGUCACUUAACAUGAUGUUUGGUUGCAUCAAUGUCCUCUGUCAGAACAUUUUUGCAUCAGAAACCAAUGCAUUAUUUACUAUGUAAAUGAUCAUUUUGUAUUUAUUCAAAAGCCUUUUCAAUUGUGCUUUGUUAAAUCAUGAGUAAAGCCCUGAAGACAGAAGUCUCUGGACAGUCUGUGCUGCAUACUGCUGCAGCUCAUGCCCUCUUCCUCUGAAGUCAGCAAAAGCCACAGCAGGAGAACACAAGAAUACCUGGGCCCUUUUCUGUACUUGUCUGGUAAGGCUCUGAGUGUAUCAGGUGCUAUGGCAAAAUGCUGAAGGUUCUGAAGAGCUGGCGGUUUCAGCAGGAGUGUGAGUACUCGGAAGAUAUGUGGAUUGGUAGUACUAAAACCCCAUCUCACUGUGAAGAGCUUGAUCUGAGGGAAGGUGAUCCCAUGCAGGAGGUGCGACUGAAGGUAAGAUUGAGAAAGGAUUGAAAAUGAGGCAGAAGAUAAGUUCCAUGCUCGGAAUCUCCUGAUCAAAGACAGCCAAAUACUGAAAGUUUGCUUCACUGUAUUUUCCUUCCUGCCUUUCACUGGAUGUGAAUGAACAGGGAAAUCUUCCACAUACUCCCUCAGCGUAUAAAAAGAUGUACUUUGAUUUGAGAAUGGGAUGCCGUUUUGACUGGAAUGGUAGAAAGCAUGUCAGUAGCUUAACAGUUGUAAAAUUAGAAGGAAAGAAAACCCCAAAGAAAUGAGAAAAUAACUCGUAUUAAAGCAAUAGAAUAGUUUUAUGCUAUAAUAGCAUUCUGUGCAGCUUAAAGCAGCUCAAAGCAAUGCUCUUCACACAGUAUCUGCCAAAUCCUAUCAGGAUUGUAAGGUGACAUUAUGAAGUCUCCAGAUGUAUUUUCAUGUCAUUGGGCUGAUUUGUGUCAUUUGAUGAAUUGCAUGUUUGUAAAAUCUAUGUUAUUCACCCUGUGUAUUUUGCUUUGCUGGUGCCAAAGAUCUCUGCUACAGACAAUAGCAAGUCAUAUAAGAAUUAUCAUUUCGUAAGAUCUUACCAUCACCUUAUUAAAAAAAAAAAAAUAAUUUUCCAGUAGUGUUGAUAUAAAAGAUUAAUGGGAUACAGGAAGAUACAUUAGGUAAAUUCUCUUUAAUUUUUCUUAAUCACAUCUGCUUUUUUUUUAACAUGAGGCAAAAGAGAAAAUUAAAUCUGCGUGAGAGGCAAAGGACAAACUCUUGUUCUCUUGCUCAUGGCAGUUGAGCCCAGGACAGGUCUGUUAACCUCUGAUGUGGCUGGGGGAUGGCUCAGUCCCAGCCUGCUUGGGCUAGACAUGUUGUAGGUGACUUCAGCUCGAUCCUGUGUUACCCCUCAGGGCUUCUCCAACUCCUUUCCAUGCAGAGAAUGGUCUGGUGUGCUGAACUCGAGGGUCUGAGGAGUACUCACCAGUGGUGAGAUGAACCAAUUCUGUUGAGCACUAGGUAAGACGUGCACCUGGGUUGGCAGGAAGGACUCUGUUCAUGUAGGCACUCCAGUGGGGUGAUAGAUGGGGUUUUGUCUUCAGUAGAUGUAUGCAAUAAUUAAUUGUGUGAAGGCCUAGAAACCAUAAAAAUGUCUGCAGCAGGAUAUUGAGUGGGAAUGCUUUUAAAAUUCUCUUGAUAGGUGCUGGUGAUUUUUAACUGUAUUGAAUUAUUUAGGUGGAACCUUUUGGUCCUCCAGGAUCUGUGCUGAAAGUGCUGUGGUAGGCAUUAUUCCUCUAAUCUGAACAAUGACCUUCCACGUGAGAAACAACAGCCUGUUGCAGCUUAUUGGCAUAGGUAAAAUUAAUCUGGCAAACCCAAGAUAAAAAGAAGAGCAUCUUAGUAGUAAUAUAACUUGCGACAGUGAGUUGUUUACAGGUUUAAUGAUAGCCUACAGAUCAAUGCACAUUGCAGGAAGUCUCGUUCAUCACAGUUUUGACUUGAUCGUUACCCUGUGGCAAGUUCUCCACACCUUUUUGAAAACUGUCUGCAUCCCCCCAGCAAUUCCCUUUGAGCAGUGCCUCCACGAUGCGACUGCCUCACACCUCACUCAGGAAAGCCUUUGAAAUACCUACAGACAAGCGCGGAUCAGUAACUUGUCCUGUAAGAUGCAAAGAGAGAGAGGUGCAUCAUUGCUGUUUCCUGAAGCUGAAGGGUUGAGGAUAUACAUCAAAUCCACGCAGUGGAGGAGCAUCACUUGGGAAACACAGCCUUCAAGAGAGAUUUUAAGGGCCAUCAGUGGUGCAGAGACCACGCACCAAGCAAUGCCGAUUCUCCAGAUGUGCCCAGAGGUGCCCGGGCAGCCCAGGAGGAGACAUCCCUGCCCUGACCCAGCACUGGCAGCAUCGUGGUGGGCUGGACCGAGGGAAGUAAACGGGCAAUAAGAGCAGCUGGCACUUUGAAAAAGGGGUGAAAGAUGAAACUCCAGUAAGCGAUCCUGCAUCUUAACAGAGUUGUCAGCAGAUGACUUCUGUCCCAGUGUUCUGGUGCCAUUUUUCCUGAGCUGCCUGUGUAAUCGAUGGUGAAUCUUUACAUGCCCAGAGUGAGUUACUCAGAUCCAAAGCCAUUCUGGAAACAGUCUGUCUGACAGCCUUUUUAUUGGCAAAGAAGCUAUUUAAAUGAGAAACCUGUGUGAGAGAUGAACUAGCUGCCCCAUGUGAUGGCAAGCGGAAGCUGAUGAAUUCUGCUCGGGCAACCCGGAAAGAAGUAGUCAAAGGGACAAGGCUGAUGAACUGAGCUUAUUAACUUGACUUGGCGGUGAUGAGAGCGAUAUCGACAAAAAGGCUGCGGUGGACUUCAAACACACUUCCUGCAGUCGUGAGCCGAGAGCGCUGCUUUGGCAAAAACUGGGGGCUGCUUUACACGGGGAUGCAAAGUCUGCAGCGAGAGCCUCAUCGUCUGAAGUUGAAAGCAAUGAAACAUCCAUCUCCUGCAGUGGGUGGGAGCUGGAGACCGUCAAAGCCAGCCCCACUGUGGGCAUAAUCGAGCUGACUGCUGAAUCACGGGAUGAAAGGGACCUGCUGGAGGAACGAGUCCGUUUGCUUGCUAACAGGAUACUAUUCACAGCUCUUUAAAAGUGUGGGGAAAUUGACUGUCACUUCACUAUUCUCCUUGCUGAUUCAUCUGGCUAUAAACUUUGGAACAGGUUGCUUACUGCUCCACUCAGCUUAUUCUCUGUUAGGGUAGAUCUACAGUCAAGUGUUCCUUAAUGAUACACAAACAUCCUAAUAACAUUUGUAAAUUGAAUCCUGGAGCUGACUGGGACUAUCUCUAAGUGUCCAUUGUGGAAAAUAAUUUCUAAAGUCCAAGGUGCCACCAAAACACCUUUACCAUGCUGAAAUAUGUAGUAUAACAAUUUUUUUUUUUUUUUUUCUUACAGAGGACUGUUCCUUUAUAGUUUUCUUCCUGAGAACUUCCUUAGCCUGAGGGACUAUACGUCAGCUUUUGCUAAGUAUGACUCUGACCUACUUGUCCGCUUGAAUAAUGAGUUCUUGCAUUUGUUGUUUUAUCUACACCUCCAUUUCUUUCUGUGUGGGAACAGCUAUCUAACUUCCACUAGUAACUUUUUCUGUAUCUUUGCAGUAUCUGCCUUCAUGUCCUGGAUGUAAGUUGUGCAUUAGUACUAGGAGUGCUUGUCUUUCAUAACAUCUGCUUAUUGCUGGCCCCCAAAGACCAGCAGAGAAAUGCACAGGAAAUUGGCAGAUCUAAUUUGGUCACUAUUUUGUCAAAUGUAUACUUAAAUGUGUGAAGGUUUGUCCAGAAGAUUUCUGCCUCUUAUUAUAUUUCUUCACGUUAAAAGGUACUUUUUGUUUGUUUGGU